AGACCCGAAACCCGGUGAUCUAGCCAUGGGCAGGUUGAAGGUUGGGUAACACUAACUGGAGGACCGAACCGACUAAUGUUGAAAAAUUAGCGGAUGACCUGUGGCUGGGGGUGAAAGGCCAAUCAAACCGGGAGAUAGCUGGUUCUCCCCGAAAGCUAUUUAGGUAGCGCCUCGUGAAUUCAUCUCCGGGGGUAGAGCACUGUUUCGGCUAGGGGGCCAUCCCGGCUUACCAACCCGAUGCAAACUGCGAAUACCGGAGAAUGUUAUCACGGGAGACACACGGCGGGUGCUAACGUCCGUCGUGAAGAGGGAAACAACCCAGACCGCCAGCUAAGGUCCCAAAGUCAUGGUUAAGUGGGAAACGAUGUGGGAAGGCCCAGACAGCCAGGAUGUUGGCUUAGAAGCAGCCAUCAUUUAAAGAAAGCGUAAUAGCUCACUGGUCGAGUCGGCCUGCGCGGAAGAUGUAACGGGGCUAAACCAUGCACCGAAGCUGCGGCAGCGACACUGUGUGUUGUUGGGUAGGGGAGCGUUCUGUAAGCCUGUGAAGGUGUGUCGUGAGGCAUGCUGGAGGUAUCAGAAGUGCGAAUGCUGACAUAAGUAACGAUAAAGCGGGUGAAAAGCCCGCUCGCCGGAAGACCAAGGGUUCCUGUCCAACGUUAAUCGGGGCAGGGUGAGUCGACCCCUAAGGCGAGGCCGAAAGGCGUAGUCGAUGGGAAACGGGUUAAUAUUCCCGUACUUGGUGUUACUGCGA
rnacentral:rRNA from 1 species